rnacentral:rRNA from 1 species
UAGGGAAUUUUCGGCAAUGGAGGAAACUCUGAUCGAGCAACGCCGCGUGAAUGAUGAAGUAUUUCGGUAUGUAAAGUUCUUUUAUUAAAGAAGAAACGCUAGUGGAAAAACUAGUUUGACGUUAUUUAAUGAAUAAGCCCCGGCAAACUAUGUGCCAGCAGCCGCGGUAAUACAUAGGGGGCGAGCGUUAUCCGGAAUUAUUGGGCGUAAAGGGUGCGUAGCCGGUAUUAGUAAGUCUCUAGUUUAAAUUCAACGCUUAACGUUGUCCCGCUAGAGAAACUACUAGACUAGAGUAAGAUAGAGGCAAGCGGAAUUCCAUGUGUAGCGGUAAAAUGUGUAAAUAUAUGGAGG